AUGAAAUGUAAUGGAAUAAAUGUAGAGUAUUGUACUUGGCCUUGAAAAUCAAUUUCAGAAAUACAGGAGAGGCAUAGCUACAAAAAGGCUGACUGGUUUCAGUUUAUGAGGCUGAUUAUGAGUCAACAAUGUGACAUGGCCACAGGGGUGUGCUGAAACCAGUUUCAGAGGCUCCCAAGGGCCAAUUGUUAAAUUUUCAGUGUAAACAUUUAUACCUCAGAAAUAGGCAAAUACCAAGGCUGUAAAUACAACAAAUAAGUAUUGUUUUAUUUAUUGUCUCAGGGAAAGAGGAGUUGGAGGAAGGGAAUAAACAUUACAUAAUACCUACUCCGUGUCAGGUACUGUGCUGAGUACCUUUACAAAUAUGAUCUCAUAUGAUCCUCACAACAGCUGUUAUUAUCUCCAUUUUAUAGUCGAGGAAACUGAAGCAAAUAGCGGGUAAGUGACUUGACCCAGUCACAUAACUAGUAAGGGUCUGAAACUGGAUUUGAACUUGGGUCUUCCAGACCACAGACCCAGCACUUCAACUGGUGGAACCCCUAGCUGCCUUAAACUUAAGAAAGCAGUGGAGGAAAUGUUAAUAAUGCAGAUUAAUUGAAAAAAAAAUGUGUCCUGUAUUCAUGUUUUUCUUUUCUUUUCAGGGAGCUGGUUGUUAAACAUUUACCAGUACAUCACUGGACACAGAACUCAAAAAACCUAUUUUCCCAGACUAUAUUAAGAUCCACACCCAGCCCAUCAGCCCAGAAGCAGCAGACAGAUA
rnacentral:lncRNA from 1 species